UCCGUUGCAGUCUGGUUGGUUAGUAUACUCGGUUCUCACCCGAGAGACCCGAGUUCAAACCCCGGCAACGGAU
rfam:Ipomoea nil DNA, scaffold: scaffold1900, cultivar: Tokyo-kokei standard.